rnacentral:tRNA from 1 species
UCCCGUGUGGCUCAGUUGGUAGAGCAUGGUGUUUGCAACACCAGGGUUGUGUGUUCGAUUCCCACGGGGG